rnacentral:rRNA from 1 species
UACGUAGGGGGCUAGCGUUGUCCGGAUUUAUUGGGCGUAAAGAGCGUGUAGGCGGCCAUGUAGGUCCGGUGUGAAAACUCGAGGCUUAACCUCGAGAUGUCAUCGGAAACCAUUUCGCUAGAGUCCGGAAGAGGAGAGUGGAAUUCCUGGUGUAGCGGUGAAAUGCGCAGAUAUCAGGAAGAACACCAAUGGCGAAAGCAGCUCUCUGGGACGGUACUGACGCUGAGACGCGAAAGCGUGGGGAGCGAACAGG